rnacentral:rRNA from 1 species
ACACAUGCAGUCGAGCGGAUGAAGGAGCUUGCUCCUGGAUUCAGCGGCGGACGGGUGAGUAAUGCCUAGGAAUCUGCCUGGUAGUGGGAGACAACGUUUCGAAAGGAACGCUAAUACCGCAUACGUCCUACGGGAGAAAGCAGGGGACCUUCGGGCCUUGCGCUAUCAGAUGAGCCUAGGUCGGAUUAGCUAGUUGGUGAGGUAAUGGCUCACCAAGGCGACGAUCCGUAACUGGUCUGAGAGGAUGAUCAGUCACACUGGAACUGAGACACGGUCCAGACUCCUACGGGAGGCAGCAGUGGGGAAUAUUGGACAAUGGGCGAAAGCCUGAUCCAGCCAUGCCGCGUGUGUGAAGAAGGUCUUCGGAUUGUAAAGCACUUUAAGUUGGGAGGAAGGGUUGUAGAUUAAUACUCUGCAAUUUUGACGUUACCGACAGAAUAAGCACCGGCUAACUCUGUGCCAGCAGCCGCGGUAAUACAGAGGGUGCAAGCGUUAAUCGGAAUUACUGGGCGUAAAGCGCGCGUAGGUGGUUUGUUAAGUUGGAUGUGAAAUCCCCGGGCUCAACCUGGGAACUGCAUCCAAAACUGGCAAGCUAGAGUAUGGUAGAGGGUGGUGGAAUUUCCUGUGUAGCGGUGAAAUGCGUAGAUAUAGGAAGGAACACCAGUGGCGAAGGCGACCACCUGGACUGAUACUGACACUGAGGUGCGAAAGCGUGGGGAGCAAACAGGAUUAGAU